GUGAGUGCGUGAGUGUGUGGGUUACCCUAGUAACCAGACCCAGAAGGUUCGGGGGGGGGGUGUUAAAAGGCAGUUGAGACAGAAGAGAGAGAGAGUUGGAUUUAGUUGCAUGGGAGUAGGAGGUCAGGUGUAUUAGGCUGAGGGUUGAGAGAUCAGUUAGUGUGUUCUGAACAGGAAAGGUUGUUCAAGGGAAGGGGUUGUGUGGAUCUUGAAGGGUCAAUGUGAGGAGGCUGGAGAACCAGCAGUGUUCUGGGCAGCUCCUAAUAAAAGACAAGAAGGUCUGGAGGAAUUCACUGUUUACAAGCCCAAGUUUAAGUACCUCUGUCCCAGUUAUCUCACCUCUCUAUACGUUACAUUUUAUCCAGAACAGCUGAUUUACCUAGUAACUUGGUAAAGAAGCUUGAGUGCCCUGCUUUGCAGAGAUCAUUAUUCUAAUCUGUAAAUAAUAAACUUAUUCUUGUUUUUUGUUUUAUACCUCAAGUUUUGUUUCAUUUUAUAUCCUGAAUAUAUAGGCCUAUCCUGUGCUUGCAAGGCUACGCAGCCAAAGGUGUUGAGUACUGAGAGCAGGGGAACAAGAAUUUAUAUGGUGGCAGCGAGGGAAAGUAAAAGCUGACUGAAUUCCCAGAACCUGGAGACUAAACUGUCAUAGAACAAUAAAAACAAAUCAUCUCCCUGGGACUGAGAGGGACAUGAGGAUGGGACCUUGACAGCUCCUCUUGAAAAAGGAUUCAUAUUGCAAUUUCUGCUUUGUUUGUGUGCCCAUUAUCAGAAGAGCAUCUGUUCUGCUAAGUGAGCAAAGAGGCACCUUUUUAAAGUGGUGGUUCUCUUUAUUUAGCAGGGGGAGAGAAACUGGCCCUAAACAUCCCGAGCACAACAUCCCUCCAGUGGCUAUUGCUGGUGUCUAUCUUAUGUGUCUUUUUUAGAUUGUGAGCCCUUUGGGGACAGGGAACCAUUUUAUUUAUUUAUUUAUAUCGAUAUAAACCGCUUUGAGAACUUUUUUUUGUUGAAAAGUGGUAUAUAAAUAUUCAUCAUAUUCGUAUUCUAUUCCUUUCCAGGAUUCAUCUGUGCACCACAGCCAAUAUAGUUACUUCCACUGUGGCACCAUUACAUCUGGUGCCGUUGUUGGGACUUACAUCUGGUGCUGCUGUUGAUCCACCUGGGGCUGCAUUUCUUGUACUGUUUCAAUCUUCUGUAAACCACACUGGAGAUUAUAUCAAAAAGUAGGAUAUAAAUCUUUAAACUGAACAACUAAAGCAGAGCUAAGAACUUUAGAAUAUGCUCAUACAACUCGAAGGAAUAUAGUCCUUCUCAACAAAAUACAGCAUUUUAAAAACAUAUAUGGACAAUUCAGAAACCACAUAUUCUGAAAUGACCCCUCCAGAGGUACUUGCAUGUAGGUUUAUGUGUACUCAGCCUUACAGCUGUAGAAAAGCAAAAACCAAUUUAAGCAUUGCUUGUGUAAAUGACUCUUCCGGGUGAAAAUAAGACUGAUCAUGUUAAGAGGAAAUGCUAUCUUGAGAACCUUGUUUUACAGAUGUAACAUUUCUAAUUAGAAAGAGCCAGAAUUUUGGAUUUGGAAGAAAGCAAAGAAAGCAGCACAAUCACAUUAAUUGGAAAGCAUUUCAUUUGUGAUGGCAUUUUAUACACCAGAGCUUUCUCAAGCAGAAGGUAAUCUAACACUGAACCUUUCUACUGUCCUGAAUCCCACCUUCCCUCCUGUUUAAACUCAUUCGAAGUAAUGAAAGUCCUUCUCUAAGGACUCAUUUAGCACAAUAUCCAGCCUGUCCCAAUUAGUAAACAUUUUGCAUCACUGAUCUUACAAUUAAUAGGACAAUAGUCUUCUAGCUAGUUGUGACAUAUUGACUACAUCUCCAGCACUAUUAAUAUCCUGUUGUCGGGGGACAAUACAAGCAUGCAUUAUAGUUGUCACAUUUUAAAAUUAUGAGCAUCCAUUCCCAAACUGAAUUCAUUUAAAACUGUUUACGUAUGUUGAUGCAAAUUGAUUGAUUGCACCCAGCCAUUGUGCAAUUUUCGCACUUGCAUCAUCCAGGCAGUUGAACUGCAAGUUUUAUUCUUCACUCCAGAGGUUGGAGGUAUUGGCAGGGCUAGCUGUAUAGCUUGAGAACUCCAGACAUAUUUUUUGUUGCAGAGAGCAGAUGGAAACAGGACUCCUUUCCAAGAACCACCUUGGGGCCUUGCUGGAGUUGGCUGGGUUGGGCAGUUGCUAAGGUCCAGAGCCUACCCAUUGCAAUGCAUUGCCACCAUUUUGGCUCUCUCUUGGGGCUAAGCCUGGUCAAGGAUGCAGAGCCUGCUGCCUACAAUCUAGCCAGGCCCAGCUCAAAGUGAGAUUCUAACUCAGAGAGUAAUUUUUCAAAAUGAUCUCAGUUUGAGUGUGGCUCAUUCAUGUUGGAAUCAUUAUGCACUAUCUCUGACUAUGAGGUGAAAGUGCAUGCCAGAAUCCCUUGUGCUAGUCCAUGGGCUUCCUGGAAGCUGGGGGGGCUUUGCUUUCCGUAUACUUUCCAUGUUGUUUUGACAUUUGAAUUGGUUCUUCUCUUGCCUCUUGAUGUGACUAACCCUUCCUGGAACCCCUGUUCUGUCAAAUACUGCAACUAGAAUUAUUUAUUUAUUUAUUUAUUUAUUUGAUUUAUAUGCUGCCCUUCCGAAAGUGGCCCGGGGCAGUAUAUGAUAAGCUAGAAGAAGCUUUCAAAGUUGUGGAGCGGGCGGGGGGGGAGCGGGGGGAGUCAUCUGCCCUGGAGCAAGGUUUUCAAAAAUAAUGGGUUGCAUCCCAGUGAAGUUAAUCAUGACUAAAUCCCACCAAAAUGAAUGGGACUAACUUAAAUUAUUCAUGACUCAUUUAAUCUCAUUGAUUUCAAUGGUGCUUUGUCAUGACCAACUCAGUUUGGAUGCCACCCAAUGUACAUUAGCUUUUGCUUCUUUUUUCUAGUAUAUAUCUGUAUCUAUAUAUUGAUGUUCAUAUCUACAUAUUUAUUUCUAUACCUAUAUUGUUCUUCCCUUCUGGAUAGCCAGCCUUCUUAACUGAUGGGAUAGGUGCCUCCUGCAGCCUCUUUGGAGGUAGACUACAGUAGCAAAUCAAGCUGGCAGGAGAGUUACUGAAAGAAGAAACAAAUAUAUACUGACUGCCAGCAGAAGACUGGAGUAAAAUUAUUUGCAGAACAUAGAAGGAAAAGACACAACUCGGAAAGCAAAUAUUGCAUGGGUGAUCCUUUUUUCCUGCUUUGACAGGUUCUGUGACUUCAACCUCCAACUGUUGGUGCAGCCUGAGGAUGUGGACAAGAUCCUAGGCAGUGUGCGGGCGACUUCGUGCACUCUUGACCCUUGCCCUUCAUGGCUAAUAAAAGCUGCCAGGGAGGGGACAGGCAGAUGGUUGGAGGUGAUUAUUAAUGCCUCAUUAAGGGAGGCCAGGAUGCUAUUGUGCCUCAAAGAGGCGAUGGUAAAACCAUUGUUAAAAAAGCCCUCCCUUGAUCCCUCCAACCUGGACAACUAUAGACCUGUCUCCAACCUGCCCUUUUUGGGGAAGGUGAUAGAGCAUGUGGUGGCGUCCCAGCUGCAGAGGGUCUUGGAUGAUACGGAUUAUCUGGACCCUUUUCAAUCUGGCUUCCGCCCCGGAUAUGGAACUGAAACUGCCUUGGUCGUUGGAUGACCUACGCCAGUGGAUGACCUACGCCAGGUGGAUGACCUACGCCAGGAACUAGACAGGAAGAGUGUGUCCCUGUUGGUUCUGCUGGACCUCUUAGUGGCGUUCAAUACCAUCAACCAUGAUAUCCUUCUGGAUUGCCUCUCGAGUGUGGGAAUUGGAGGGAGGCUGUGGAUGUCCUGAAUCGGGGGCUGGAGCCUGUGAUGGGUCGGAUGUGGGCUAAUAAACUGAGAUUGAAUCCAAGAUUGAAUCUUGACAAGACGGAGGUAAUGUUGGUCAGUAGGAGAGCCAAUCGGGAUUUGCCUUUGUAAAGAAGCAGAUGAAACAGUGGGCCACCUAAUCAGCUGUUGUAAAAAGAUCGCACAGACUGACUACAAACAAAGGCAUGAGAAGGUAGCAGGGAUGAUAUACUGGAACAUCUGCAAAAAAUACAAGCUACCUGUAGCCAAAGAUUGGUGGGACCAUAAAAUUGAAAAAGUUGUAGAAAAUGAAGAUGCAAAAAUAUUAUGGGACUUCCGACUACAAACAGACAAACAUCGGCCACACAAUAAACCAGAUAUAACUGUAGUCGAGAAGAAAGAAAAACAAGUCAAAAUAAUCGACAUAGCAAUACCAGGGGAUAGCAGAAUAGAAGAAAUAGAAAUAGAAAAAAGUAACAAAAUACAAAGAUGUACAAAUUGAAAUUGAAAGGUUGUGGCAGAAGAAGACCAAAAUAAUCCCUGUAGUAAUUGGUGCCCUAGGUGCAAUUCCAAAACACCUUGAAGAGCACCUCAACACCAUAGGGGCCACAGAAAUCACCAUCAACCAAUUACAAAAAGCAACUUUACUGGGAACAGCCUAUAUUCUUCGACGAUAUCUAUAAUAACAACAACAACAACAAUACUGAUAAUAAAAUUCAGCCAUCCCAGGUCCUUGGGAAGGACUCAAUGUCUGGAUAAAACAAACCAGGCAAUAAAACCUGUCUGACUGUGUAAAAAAGAAAUAAUAAUAAAUAAUAAUUAUUAUUAUUAUUAUUAAUAAUACCAUAGGGGCCACAGAAAUCACCAUCAGCCAAUUACAAAAAGCAACUUUACUGGGAAUAGCCUAUAUUCUGCGACGAUAUCUAUAACAACUGAUAAUAAGAUUCAGCCAUCCCAGGUCCUUGGGAAGGACUCGAUGUCUGGAUAAAACAAACCAGUCAAUGACACCUGUCUGACUGUGUAAACAAGAAAUAAUAAUAAUUUGGGAUCCUACCAAUGCCUUAGUGAAGUGGUGCUUCUUCCAUAUGACUGACAGGAAGAAGGUGAGUGAGGAAAUUGGGUUGAAGCCAGAUAGUCUUUAAUACUGCUGCUGCCAGAUUCAGAGAAGUUGGCAGAAAAAAUUGCUACAUUAUUGGAUUAGUAGUUUCCUAAUGGCUUUUGAGAUAGAAGCAAAUGGAACCACUAGUUGGGGCAGUAAUUCCACAACUGUGAGCCACAACAAAACUGUUAUAGAAUGUCAGGGGGGAAAUUCUCAAAGGUGCAUGCGAGUCCAAAGUACCCACAGCCCCAAUAAGCUGCGUGCUGUGUCACUGCAUUGCACUGGAAGCAGAUAAACCCACUAUGCAAGUGAAUCUCUACCUCAUUUCCAGUGUAGAGUCACAGCAGUGUUACCUGUCCUGGGAAGAGUAAAUGUGGUGUCUCUGCACGAGUCACUGCCUCCUUCCAAUCUGAAAGCACACUGUGACUCAUACAGAAACAUAGGGAGAGGGCUCCUCUGAUAAUGGGUAGUUGUUAAUCUUGUUGGAGCUAGGACACUGGCAGCAUCAGCUCUCAGCUGCAAUGUCUCAUAGUGACCACUGGGGGGGCGGCUUUUAGGGUCAUGGGUAAAAGUGCUGGAUUCCACCCCUCCGUUCUUCCAGUGUUAGGCUCUCCAGUGUUUUGUCUCUCCAGAGAGGGCUGUUUCUCUUCAGCCAUGAGCUACAGCUGAAAUUAAGUUGCAGGUUUUUCCACAUUUGUUUGUAACGUUUUCUUUAAAUAAAUCCUUGUAGUUCUUCAAUACUGAAGAAGAACUACAAAAUACAAGGUGCUAGUUAUUACCCACAAAGCCCUAAACAGCUUAGGCCCUGGGUAUUUAAGAGAACAUCUUCUUCACCACGAGACCCAACAUCUGUUAAGAUCAUCCAGAGAGAUUUCUUCAAUCCUCAAAUGACCACUAGGGGCAUUGGGAGUAGAUGCCCCUGGUGGCGCAGUGGUAAAACUGCUGCCCUGUAACCAGAAGGUUACAAGUUCGAUCCUGACCAGGGGCUCAAGGUUGACUCAGCCUUCCAUCCUUCCGAGGUCGGUAAAAUGAGUACCCAGAAUGUUGGGGGCAAUAUGCUAAAAUCAUUGUAAACUGCUUAGAGAGCUCCGGCUAUAAAGCGGUAUAUACAGUGGACCCUCGACUUACGAACUACUCGACAUCCGAUGUUUUCGACUUACGAACGACAAAAAUGGCCGCACGCUUACGAAUUUUUCGAGCUACGAACGGAAACCGUUGGCGGUUUAGAUGCGGUUUCCUCAACUUACGAAUUUUUAGAUGCGGCUUACUCGACUUACAAAUUUUUUUAGACCUCCGUGGGUACGCUUUUCGACUUACGAAAUUUUCGACCUCCGAACGUGCAUUCGGAACGGAUUAACUUCGUAAGUCGAGGGACCACUGUAAAUGUAAGUGCUAUUGCUAUUGCUAUUUGUCUGCGGUUGCUGCCAACUCAUUUGGUGGCUACUUGGGAAUGGGCCUUCUCCGUUCCUGCCCCUGGACUUUGGAAUGUGCUCCCUGUUGAAAUAAGAGCCUCUGCCCUGUAAAUCACCCUGAGCUAUUUUUGGAAGGGUGGUAUAUAAAUCAAAAUUUAUUCACCCAGGCUUAAUUAGAUUUAUGGUUUUAAAUUUGUAAUAUUGGUUUUAAAUGAUUCUAAUGUUUGUUUAAAUGAUUUUAAUCAUUUAAUUGAUUUAGUUUUGAAUUUAAUUGUUUUGUUUUUAACCCUGAGCCAUUUUUGGAAGGGCAGUAUAUAAAUCAAACAAAUACAUACUAAAGAACUGUCUGAAGACCUUUUGCUUUGCUGCUUUCUCACCAAACUGGUUUUGCUCUGCUAUUUGGGGACUGAACUGCCAUUCUUCCCCUACAAAUCUUUCACACACCUGAAAGUAAACCUCCUAAGGUGCAGUUCUAAUUUAAGUGUGUGCACGGUCAAACCAGAUAAUCAGGCACUUCACUGUCUUUUCAUUUUUCAAAAAUAGCAGCUGUAGGGGCUCCUGAUCCAGACUGGGAACCUGUUAGUAUUGGAAUGGGGGGUGGGGGUUAAAUGCUUCACCCCACACACCAAGGGCAAGCAAAAGUUAUCCCCCUGAAGCUGUUAUCUGCCUGGGAAGGAAUCUGCUAUGGGCACUAAUGGCAGCUUUCCUUCACCAGCUUCAAGGCAAGGGUGCACGAUACACAUUGGGAUUUCAGUGCAAGGAGAAAGGGUUAAGUCCCUGUCCCAGUCCACCCACACUGUGGUCCCAGUCCAGACUGGGGUCCUGCUCAUCCCUCCACCUUAACAAACUUAACACCUUAACACCUUAACGCAGCUACUCAUCCCUCCACCUUAACAAAGAAUAGAAAGAUGAUGAAUUCAUCAUUAUGAUGGACCCAGUUGCUUGAUAUUCUCAUGCAUUAACCAUUAGGCUCCAGGGCAGAACUAUGUAGUGAGCAUGGUGAGUGGAGGUCGUUCUGUAAAGCCAGACAUUGAGUGUAAUAUUAUACCAGGAAGCAAAAAGACCAGCGGGAGCUCCAGAAGAAAACUGCAGGUAUGAGUUGUUGGAGAUGAACUUCCAGUGCAUCGACCUUUUGCACCAACUGUCCAAAUGACCACUAGGGGCAUUGGGAGUAGAGACAGUGAUUAAGGGUCUCCCUAUCUGUCCCUACUCUAUGACCCCUGUUCUGACUCUGCAGCACUUCCUGUGCUGAGUCACAAUCCUUCCUUUCCUCCUAGAGAGCAGAUGGAAACAUCUCUCUCUCUCUCUCCUUACCUAUCCACUAUGUAGUCCUUUAGAUUAGAGAUAGGUCUUUCCUAUCUAAGUGUAUUUAACCAAUAAAUAUUUAGUGUU